CCCAUACGAUAAAGAUUAUUUAAAGUUGAUUUAAAUAUUGAUGACUCACAGCUUCUUUCGACUUGUAUAAUGCUGCUGUGAGUCAUCAAUAUUUAAAUCAACUUUAAAUAAUCUUUAUCGUAUACU
rnacentral:miRNA from 1 species